AGCGAACGAUAUCGAGGGUCCAGUGACACGCUGCACUUCCCCCCUCCCCCCAAUAAUUAGCCAGUCUGCACUCGCUCUCUCUAUACACGGAGUCGCGCGUGGCGAUGUACACAGGCAUAUUGGUAUACACCGUCAUGCAUGCAUAGGGCGCUUCGCUCACCGAUACUCGUUUUUGCACGCACACACGCCUUUUUCCUUGGUGUAUCGGGCUGCAGAGAUGCUGAGUCGGCUUUCUGAGCGUUGCAGCAUCGCCACCGGGCUUGAGCAGGUGCUGCGCCGUCAUGUGUGGAGCGCGGCAUGGCUGCGCGAUGCCGAGCCAGCGGCAGCCGCCAGUCAGAACAUCGAUCUCAGUUGCCUGAUGGAGCGCGCAGGCCGCGCGGCGUACGACGUCUUUUCAAACCUUUACACCUCGCAGCAACACUGGCUGAUCCUGGUGGGCUCAGGCAACAACGGAGGUGACGGCUAUGUCAUCGCGCGACACGCCCGCGAGGCCGGGAAGAUCGUGACGGUGCUGUGCAUGCCUCACAGCAAGCCGUUGCCGGCGGAGGCGGCAAGUGCUCAGCAUGCGUGGAAGGCGGUUGGCGGCACCGAGACUACGAUGAACCCCGGCGCGCCGUUGCAGCUACCCGCCGACGUCGACCUUAUCGUGGACGGCUUGCUGGGGACCGGCAUCUGUGGGCCCCCUCGAGAGCAGUACGAGGAUGUCAUCCGGCACAUCAACGGUCUCCCGGUGCCUCGGGUGGCUAUCGACAUUCCAUCCGGUCUCAACGCCGAAACCGGGGAGGUUGCCGGCGCGUGCGUGAAGGCGGACCACACGGCUACCUUCAUCUGCCUGAAGCCUGGGCUGCUCACGGGGCAGGCAAAAGACUAUGUCGGGCAGCUGCACUACCGCAGCCUCGGCUUGGAGGAUUGGAUGACGGCGCCGGAGCGGAUGAGGGCGGCCUUGUGCCGCCGCGUGGCGCUGGACGACGUCUACGAGUACUUCGGCAUUAGGCGGUCGGCGUUGGCACACAAGGGCAGAUGUGGCAAGGUCAUCCUUGUCGGCGGAGACCACGGCUUUGGAGGUGCCACUCUCAUGUCGACCGAGGCCUGCGUGACGGUCGGAGCCGGGCUCACCCGCGUGCUGACUCGCCCCGAGUAUGCAGCACCGUUGUUGACGCGCUGCCCAGAGGCGAUGGUGACAGCCGUGGAGACGGACACGGGCGGGCAGCUGGAGCAGCAGAUGCUCGCGGCUUUCGAGUGGGCCUCUACGCUGGCGGUCGGACCUGGACUUGGCACCGGCGCGUAUGGCCAGGCGGCCUUGACCGCUGCUCUGCGACACGCUGAGGUGCAUCAGGACAAGACAUUGGUGCUGGAUGCGGAUGCGCUGAACCUUCUCGCAGGCCGCCUUCACGGCAAGGAAGGGGGUGCUGCUGCCGGCGCUGGUAAACACCUGCCGGUGCUUCCGAACAGCAUAAUCACGCCGCACCCCGGUGAGGCGGCCCGCUUGUUGGCCUGCCGCGUCGCAGAUGUGGAGAAGGACCGCCUCGCCGCGGCUCGCCGCCUUGCUGCCAUUUUGGGUGGGACUUGCCUCCUCAAGGGUCCUGGCACGAUUGUGCACUGCCACAGCAGUGCGAAGACAGCAAUCGUGGAUGCCGGAAACGCCGGCAUGGCAAGCGGUGGCAUGGGCGAUGUGCUGACUGGGCUGCUGGCAGGCCUUGCCGCGCAACGAAUGCACGACACCUUCAACACGACCUGUGCAGGCGCUCUCGUGCACGGCGUCGCUGCAGAUAUGGUGGCCGCCGAGGACGGGCGUGGCACACGCGGUAUCCGAGCGACUGAGCUCAUUCAUCGCGUACCCUUGAUCGUCAACGCCUCCGGGCCAUCUCCUGCUACCCGGCAGCGAUCAAGUGGACCAUGAGGUUCGCGCGCGAGGCAUAGGGUGAAGAAACAUGCGUGUGUGGAUGUUGUGUGUGUGAGGGGCAGAGGGGGAGAGCAUUGCAGGCAGCUUUUCGGGGCGGCGGCCGCCUCCAUCGUAGAUGGCUAUCGGUUUUCGCUGAGCAAGCGCAUGACUGUUGCUUUCUAUGCGACCUUCCUCCUUCACUCUCCCCUCAGCCACCGUGCAGCCGAGCUCAUGACAGCUCUCUAUUCCAAUUUGCUUCUUGAAGUCUUCCCUGCGGCUUGCUCGAGUGGAUAGCCGUUCCGGCCAGGAUGGAUCCCUUGCGCAGUGCUGAGCGCGUGCAUGUGCCCACUACACCCACGUAUGCUUC
rnacentral:misc_RNA from 1 species